rnacentral:rRNA from 1 species
UACAGAGGUCUCAAGCGUUGUUCGGAUUCAUUGGGCGUAAAGGGUGCGUAGGCGGCGCGGUCAGUCGGGUGUGAAAUCUCGGAGCUUAACUCCGAAACUGCAUUCGAUACUGCCGUGCUUGAGGACUGGAGAGGAGACUGGAAUUUACGGUGUAGCGGUGAAAUGCGUAGAUAUCGUAAGGAAGACCAGUGGCGAAGGCGGGUCUCUGGACAGUUACUGACGCUGAGGCACGAAGGUCAGGGGAGCAAACGGG